rnacentral:rRNA from 1 species
ACGAGUGGCGAACGGGUGAGUAAUACAUAGGAAUCUACCCAGUAGCGGGGGACAACUUGGGGAAACUCAAGCUAAUACCGCAUACGCCCUACGGGGGAAAGCGGGGGACCUUCGGGCCUCGCACUAUUGGAUGAGCCUAUGUCAGAUUAGCUUGUUGGUAGGGUAACGGCCUACCAAGGCGACGAUCUGUAGCUGGUCUGAGAGGACGAUCAGCCACACUGGGACUGAGACACGGCCCAG